rnacentral:rRNA from 1 species
GAAAGUAAGCAAGGGCAGACGGUGGAUGCCUUGGCUCUCGGAGGCGACGAAGGACGUGAUAAGCUGCGAAAAGCCCGGGGGAGGCGCAAAUAGCCCUUGAUCCCGGGAUAUCCGAAUGGGGCAACCCGGCAGGCUGAAGGCCUGCCAUCCCGAAAGGGAGGCGAACGUGGGGAACUGAAACAUCUAAGUACCCAUAGGAGGAGAAAAUAAACAAUGAUUCCGUAAGUAGUGGCGAGCGAACACGGAAGAGCCCAAACCCAUGUCGUCUAGGCGACACGGGGGUUGUAGGACCACGACGUGGCAAGAAGGAAGGGAAAUGGAACGACUUGGAAAAGUCGGCCAUAGACGGUGAAAGCCCGGUACAUGACUCCCUUACGAAGCCUAGUGGUAUCCUGAGUAGCGCGGGGCACGAGAAAUCUUGCGUGAAUUAGCGGGGCCCAUCCCGUAAGGCUAAAUACUCCCGAGAGACCGAUAGCGAACCAGUACCGUGAGGGAAAGGUGAAAAGAACCCCGAGCAGGGGAGUGAAAUAGACCCUGAACCCGUCUGCCUACAAGCGGUCGGAGCGUCGUAAUGACGUGACGGCGUGCCUUUUGCAUAAUGAACCUACGAGUUACCUUCCCCGGCAAGGUUAAGUACCUAAGGUACGGAGCCGAAGCGAAAGCGAGUCUGAACAGGGCGCCAAGUCGGGGGGGGUAGACGCGAAACCGAGUGAUCUACCCUUGGCCAGGUUGAAGGUUGGGUAACACCAACUGGAGGACCGGAUGGGUAAGCGUUGAAAAGCUUUCCAAUGAGCUGAGGGUAGGGGUGAAAGGCUAAUCAAACUCGGAGAUAGCUCGUACUCCCCGAAAUGCAUUUAGGUGCAGCCUCUUUAUAGUAUAUCGUGAGGUAGAGCGACUGAUUGGAUGCGAGGGCUUCACCGCCUAUCAAGUCCAGAUAAACUCCGAAUGCGCGAUAUAUAUUUACAGGGAGUGAGGGCGCGGGUGCUAAGGUCCGUGUCCGAGAGGAGAAGAAUCCAGACCACCGGCUAAGGCCCCCAAAUGAUCGUUAAGUUGAACUAACGAGGUCGGAUCGCAGAGACAGCUAGGAUGUUGGCUUGGAAGCAGCCAUUCAUUUAAAGAGUGCGUAACAGCUCACUAGUCGAGCGAUCUGGCGUGGAUAAUAAUCGGGCAUAAACGAUCUGCCGAAGCCGUGGAUGUCGCAAGACAUGGUAGGGGAGCAUUCCAUGCCGCGUCGAAGAUGAGGGAUGACCCUUGUUGGAGCGCAUGGAAAAGCAAAUGUAGGUAUGAGUAACGAUAAGGGGGGCGAGAAACCCCCCCGCCGAAAGACCAAGGUUUCCUGAUCAACGCUAAUCGGAUCAGGGUGAGUCGGGACCUAAGGCAAAGCCGAACGGCGCCGCCGAUGGAAGAAUGGGUUAAUAUUCCCAUACUGCCUCAUGGAGUGACGUGGAGACGGAGAAGUGACAGUCCUGCCGGCUGACGGAAUAGCCGGUUGAAGGGUGUAGAUAUUGAUUCCCGUAGGCAAAUCCGCGGGGAGAGUCGAACCUGAGAGUAUACGGAGCGCUUGCGCAACGUAAUAUGGACGUAACCAUGCUCCCGAGAAAAUCCGCUAAACUUAUCCAUGCGGCACCCGUACCGUAAACGGACACACGUGGUCGGGUUGAGAAUACUGAGGCGCUCGAGUGAUUCACGGUUAAGGAACUAGGCAAAUUGACCCUGUAACUUCGGGAUAAAGGGUCCUCGUCGUAAGGCGAGGCGCAGAGAAUAGGUCCAGGCAACUGUUUAACAAAAACACAUGGCUGUGCUAAAUGGAAACAUGAUGUAUACAGCCUGACACCUGCCCGGUGCCGGAAGGUUAAGAGGAGAUGUCAUCCGCGAGGAGAAGCGUUGAAUUGAAGCCCCGGUAAACGGCGGCCGUAACUAUAACGGUCCUAAGGUAGCGAAAUUCCUUGUCGGGUAAGUUCCGACCUGC